AACGAACGCUGGCGGCAUGCCUAAUACAUGCAAGUCGAACGAUCACUUCGGUGGUAGUGGCGCACGGGUGCGUAACGCGUGGGAAUCUGCCCUUGGGUUCGGAAUAACAUCUGGAAACGGAUGCUAAUACCGGAUGAUGACGUAAGUCCAAAGAUUUAUCGCCCAGGGAUGAGCCCGCGUAGGAUUAGCUAGUUGGUGGGGUAAAGGCCUACCAAGGCGACGAUCCUUAGCUGGUCUGAGAGGAUGAUCAGCCACACUGGGACUGAGACACGGCCCAGACUCCUACGGGAGGCAGCAGUAGGGAAUAUUGGACAAUGGGGGCAACCCUGAUCCAGCAAUGCCGCGUGAGUGAUUAAGUCCUUAGGGUUGUAAAGCUCUUUUACCCGGGAUGAUAAUGACAGUACCGGGAGAAUAAGCCCCGGCUAACUCCGUGCCAGCAGCCGCCGUAA
rnacentral:rRNA from 1 species